ensembl:snRNA U6 U6 spliceosomal RNA
GUGCUCGCUUUGGCAGCACAUAUACUAAAAUUGGAAGGAAACAAAGACGAUUAGCAUGGCCACUGUGCAAGAAUGGCAUGGAAAUUUGUGAAGCAUUCCAUAAAAAA